GGAUGAAGCAUCCAAAGGGAUCGCAUUGAUCCGUCAUGAGAGAGAGAGAGACCAGUACAGAGUUUUAGAGAGAGAAAGGGAGAUACCAGUUUAGAGAGUGAGAGUCGAAAGAUUGAUGGAUCAUGCGAUCCCUUUGGAUACCUCCUC
rfam:Amborella trichopoda AMTR_V1.0_contig_16554, whole genome shotgun sequence.